rnacentral:rRNA from 1 species
ACCUUCCGUACACUCAGGGAUAGCCUUUCGAAAGAAAGAUUAAUACCUGAUGGUAUGAUGAGAUUGCAUGAUAGCAUCAUUAAAGAUUUAUCGGUGUACGAUGGGGAUGCGUUCCAUUAGGUAGUAGGCGGGGUAACGGCCCACCUAGCCAACGAUGGAUAGGGGUUCUGAGAGGAAGGUCCCCCACAUUGGAACUGAGACACGGUCCAAACUCCUACGGGAGGCAGCAGUGAGGAAUAUUGGUCAAUGGACGAGAGUCUGAACCAGCCAAGUAGCGUGAAGGAUGAAGGUCUUACGGAUUGUAAACUUCUUUUAUAGGGGAAUAAAACCUCCCACGUGUGGGAGCUUGUAUGUACCUUAUGAAUAAGCAUCGGCUAACUCCGUGCCAGCAGCCGCGGUAAUACGGAGGAUGCGAGCGUUAUCCGGAUUUAUUGGGUUUAAAGGGAGCGCAGACGGGUCGUUAAGUCAGCUGUGAAAGCUUGGGGCUCAACCUUAAAAUUGCAGUUGAUACUGGCGUCCUUGAGUGCGGUUGAGGUGUGCGGAAUUCGUGGUGUAGCGGUGAAAUGCUUAGAUAUCACGAAGAACUCCGAUUGCGAA